GAGAUAAGUGAAGUGAAAUCAACAACAUGCAAUGGCCUAUGAAGUUAUUUCAUCCCAGUGUUCGUGUCAUCCGAUGGCCAAAUAACAGUCUCCAUGAGUCGCUCACGCAUCACUUCCACAUUUUGAUCAGAUAUUCGGUUGUAUAUCUCUUCGUGAUCACAUUUUUUUAUCCAUUUCGCAUACAGACUGAGCCGUGUUGCCAUCACCUUUUCAGCGAGUUCUUGCUUCUCCUUUGCAAGGUUACGAAUGAAACGCUUUCCAUCGCUAGGCUUAUUUGCUGUAACAUAAUCAUUGAACCAAUGAUAUUGUGGAGGGUUCAUUUCAUUAAGCUGGUUCAGAACAGUCCUCACUGCUUUAUAUGUGAAGUAGUUGAGAA
rnacentral:misc_RNA from 1 species